rnacentral:rRNA from 1 species
AACGAACGCUGGCGGCGUGGAUAAGACAUGCAAGUCGAACGCUGAUUUCAGGGUAGCAAUAUUCUGAGGUCGGAGUGGCGCAAGGGUGCGUAACACGUGGGCAAUCUACCGUGAAGUUGGGGAUAACUUGCUGAAAGGCAAGCUAAUACCGAAUGUGAAAAUUAUGAGGCAUCUCUAGAUUUUCAAAGUUGGGGACCGCAAGGCCUGACGCUUCACGAUGAGCCUGCGGCCUAUCAGCUAGUUGGUGAGGUAACGGCUCACCAAGGCUAAGACGGGUAGCUGGUCUGAGAGGACGACCAGCCUCACUGGAACUGAGACACGGUCCAGACACCUACGGGUGGCAGCAGUCGAGAAUUUUUC